rnacentral:lncRNA from 1 species
AUUCGCUCAGCCCAGACCCACAUGGAUCCGGUCCAGUCUCACCCAAGACCAAACGACGCCGUUUCGGCGUCAAGCUAAUACCAGCCCUUCAUCAAACUUAAUCCAACGACCCCGAACUCCCCAUCCCUUUCCCUUAAAUCUGUCCAAACAGACCCCUCCCCAAACCCUAGAGACGCCUUAGUUCCCCCAUCUCCCUUAUCUCUCUCAUCUCUCUAACCAGCCACCUUCAGCCGCCGCCGGAAAUCGCCUAUGGUGGCGGCACCACCCCAAACCUCCCCAAAUCUUCACUCCAUAACCACCAUCUUCCCCUCAACCCUAAUCCAUCACCAAUUUCCCCAAAAUCCCCACCAAUCUUCUUCAAUUUCAAAUAUAAGAAGGCCGGAAAACCCUAAUCCGCCUCCCUUUUGAUUUUCUCGGAUUUUUUGACUUGAUUGACAAAAAGUUUGUGCUAAUCGAUUGUUCUUCAACCCAAAACAAUAGAUUGACACUAAUUUUGGGUCACUUCGAAGUCGCUGGAAUCCGGUCGAUUUACCCAUAGCCGGUCAGAGCAUUCACGUGCCCGUUUCAGUGCCGGUAGUUCUUCUCUUCUCUCCUCUUCUUCUUUCUUUUCCUCUAAUGGUUUAAUUUCAGAUUAGUUAUAGAAUUUCAAUUUUUUGAUUGCAUGAUAUUUAGAUUAAUUUAUAAAUCUGUUAGUUUAAUUGGAAAACAUGUUUAGUUAAUUCCUUAAUUAGGAAUAGGAUAUGAUUGUUGCACCUUUUUGAUUUUUGUUUCCAGUGUGGUUUUCGUUGAAGUCAAGCCCGCUUUGUUUGGGCCAAUCCGGGCAGGGUCGCUUAGCCUAGGCUCAAUUGAGAGCUUUUGUUUCUAGAAGGUUAAUUUCAGGAGUUAAAUGGUUAAAAAAAAUAUGGGGAAUAUCUGGAUAGACAGCUGUACAACAGCUGUCCAUUUUCUGUUAGAAAAGAUGUUUUUUCCUAAAUUUUAGGGACUGACAUUCCAGAAUUAUUCUCUGAUUUUUCUGUGCACAUAACCAAAUUCUCACUCUCUAUAUAAAGACCUCAUCUCCUCUCAUUUUACGGUCUCUGAAUUCUGAAUAGACAGACACAAAAACACUCUCUGAAAUUCACACUCUUUUCUUCAUUUUUUAGACUGGUUUUACACACUAAUUCUCGGCAGAAGCUUGACAUUCCUUUCUUUCUUCAUUUUACACUGAUUUCUUUUCUUUGAGAUUCAAAAUUAGAUACAGAAAACAAAAGAAAAAAAAAGGAAUUCAAAGUUGCUUUUCCUUCCAUUUUUUUACUAGUUUGCUUCAAUCUUGCUGGGAUUUCGAGUGGUAUGCAAAUUGUGGAGCUGUUGGUUUAAUUGCUGAACUUGUUACUGUUUCUACUGCUGUGUUCUGCUGCUUUUCCUUUUCCUGCUAUUAGGUAUGUUGAAACUCUCUUUGUAACUCUUUUAAAUGAGUUAAUGAAGAAUUGAAUGACUUGCUGUGUUCAUAUCUUAUUCUCUGUGUUUGUAUUCAACUAUUUGGUUAGUCUAUCUUUGAUCGAACUGUUCUAGCAUGUUAUUCGUAUGACAAAUCUAGUUUCAUAAUGAGUCUGAUUUUUAGCUUGUCUUAUGCAACUCUUGAUGUUAAAAGUUGACUAAGUUUAAAGCAUGACAUUAAAAUCAACUGAGCUCAUAUGAUUCUGGAAUUACUCAGAGGUUCUGUGGUUCAACAUUAACAGGUUUAUGCUUUGUGAUUGUGAAUUAAAAAUCAGAUUGAGAAGGAAAGGUAUACUUGAACAAGUUAUAGAACAAGUGUCUCAUUGAGGGAAUUUGAAGAAAUGGAAUAGAAAUUUUGAGCUCUGCUUUGAUUAUUAGUGUAAAGCAAUUGGCUAUUAGUGUAGAAUGUUCAUGCUGUAUCGAAUAAGUCAUAGUUUAGUUUGAAUAUGUAAAUUGAAUUCCAAUGCAGUUUUGUAUUAUUUUCGGGUCAAGUUUCAUGGCAAUUGUAUUGUAAAUGUACUAUAUGGUAUUUGAUUUUGUGGGUUGUGUUAUUAAGUGGCCAAAGUGAAUUUGGGCCAGAUUGAUAAAGUGGCCCAGUUGAGGUUGUAAAAAUUGCACGGGGCGCCCUAUUUGGUCGCCCCCAUUUAACCUAUACCCACUUUUUAAAAAAGUUUUAACUUGUACCCACUUUUUAAACAACUUUAGGCCUCUUUCUCCUCCUUCGGGUGACAUUAUUCUUUCCUCUAGAUGAUAUUAUUAUUCAUAUUAUUAUUCUUCACAUAAAGCGAAGCUCUUGGAUUCAGGAAACUUGGUUUUAAUGAACCCACUGACACCUUCCUUCCUGGUAUGAGGAUGGACGACGGGAAGUUCAAGUUGACUGCUUGGAAUAUUACCCAAAAGGACCCAAGCACUGAAGUGCAUCCUAUAGGAGCUGAAGUUGAGCAAAUACUAAACAAACUUCAGCUCCUAAAAUGCUGAAGUUUAACAAUUGCAAAACAAAAAUUUCAGCCAAAAUUGUUGAAGUUCAGCAAUUAUUGAACUGAAGUGCAUCCUCUAGGAGCUGAAGUUCAGCAAAUACUAAACAAACUUUAGCUCCUAAAAUGUUGAAGUUCAGCCGAUACUAAACAAACUUUAGCUCCUAGAAUGCUGAAAUUCAACAAUUACAAAACAAAAAUUUCAGCCAAAAUUGUUGAAGUUCAGUAAUUAUUGAACUGAAGUGUAUCCUCUAGGAGCUGAAGUUCAGCAAAUACUAAACAAACUUCAGCUACUAAAAUGCUGAAGUUCAGCAGAUACUAAACAAACUUCAGCUCUUAGAAUGCUGAAGUUCAGCAAUUACAAAACAAAAACUUCAGCCAAAAUUGCUGAAGUUUAGCAAUUAUUGAACUGAAAUUUUUCAUUGUACUAUGAACUGAAGUUUGCGCGAUUGCCUUUGCAAGUCAGGCCAAAUUUCAGGCAAAAAUAUCUGAAAUUUUACUUUGAUAAGGCUACACUUCAGGCAAAACAUUCUGAAGUUCAAACUUCAGACAUAAAUUUUUGCUACUUCAGGCUCAUAUGCCUGAAGUUACCCGAUUUAUUUUUUUGCAAAGCGGGUAUAGAUUAAAAUGUGACCCAAAAAUUGGGUAUAGAUGCAAAUCCCC